rnacentral:rRNA from 1 species
AUGAUGGCGGCGGCCGUCGCCGAGGCUGCCAAGCGGGAGGCGCUCCGCGGCGCCUUCUCCGUCGUCAUAGGAGCGCGCGUCCCCGGAUCCGCCGCUGAGGGCGACGUAGCCGAUGGAAACAUCAAGGACAUCGUGCUCGACAACUUCUCUGUCUCUGUGCGAGGAAACGAGCUGCUCAAGGGCGCCUCCCUCCGGAUCUCGCAUGGUCGCCGCUACGGCCUCGUGGGGCCCAAUGGCAUGGGCAAAUCUACCCUCCUGAAGCUGCUCUCUUGGCGGCAGGUGCCUGUGCCCAAGAACAUUGAUGUCCUGCUUGUGGAGCAGCAGAUUGUUGGUGAUGACCGCUCGGCAACCGAGGCGGUGGUUGCAGCCAAUGAGGAGCUCACGGCGCUCCGGGCUGAGCAGGCAAAGCUUGAGGCCUCUAACGACCCCGAUGACAACGACAAGCUUGCCGAGGUAUACGAGAAGCUAAAUCUAUGCGACUCUGAUGCUGCACGCGCGGGUGCGUCCAAAAUCCUCGCGGGGCUGGGGUUUGAUCAGGCGAUGCAGGCAAGGUCCACAAAGUCCUUCAGUGGUGGCUGGAGGAUGCGCAUCUCGCUUGACCGUGCUCUCUUCAUGCAGCCAACAUUGCAGCUCCUUGAUGAGCCUACCAACCAUUUGGACCUCCGAGCUGUGCUUUGGUUAGAGCAGUACUUGUGCUCGCAGUGGAAGAAGACCCUUAUUUUGAGUCUGCAUGUUUACCGUGGUAAUUUUGAUGACUUCGAGAGCGGGUAUGAGCAGAAGAGGAAGGAGAUGAACAAGAAGUUUGAGGUGUAUGAAAAGCAGAUGAAAGCAGCAAGGAAGACUGGGAGCAAGGCUGCACAAGAUAAGGUUAAAGACCAAGCAAUGUCAAAGGCCCAUAAAGAAGUUGCCAAGGGGAAGGGGAAGGGAAAGAAUGUGGCAAGUGAUGAUGAUAACGUGAAGCUAGCGGAUCUGCCACAAAAGUGGCAUGACUACAAAGUUGAGUUCCACUUCCCAGAACCCACUUUGCUCACACCACCACUCCUUCAGCUCAUUGAUGUGGGUUUCGGCUACCCCAACCGUCCAGACUUCAAGUUAUCAGAUGUUGAUGUUGGCAUUGACAUGGGAACACGUGUUGCCAUUGUUGGGCCCAAUGGAGCAGGAAAGUCUACUAUUCUGAAUUUACUUGCUGGUGGUCUUAACCCAUCCGAAAGAGAGGCAAGAAGGAGCCAGAAGCUGAGGAUUGGACGAUACUCACAGCAUUUUGUUGACUUGUUGACGAUGGAGGAAAAUGCAGUUCAGUAUUUGCUCAGGCUCCACCCAGACCAGGGGGGAAUGAGCAAAGCGGAGGUUGUCCGUGGCAACCUUGGAAAAUUUGGCUUGCCAGGUCACAACCAUCUUACUCCCAUUGUUAAAUUAUGUGGUGGUCAGAAGGCCCGUGUUCCUACAAAUCACUUGGAUAUGCAAAGUAUUGAUGCUUUGGCAGACGCUCUGGAUGAAUUCACUGGAGGUCUGGUCUUGGUUAGCCAUGACUCGCGGUUGAUAUCUCGAGUUUGUGACGAUGAGGAGAAGAUCCAGAUAUGGGUUGUGGAGGAUGGCACGGUGACUAAAUAUGAUGGCUCGUUUGAGGAUUACAAGGAUGAACUAAUGGCAGAAAUAAAGAAGGAAGUUGAAGAGUAA